AGGGUGUGUAACCGGUGUCUUAACGUCACACAAUAAACGGCCGAUCCGAGCCGAAUGUGGUCCGUGCCCUGGUGGUGAUUUUAACAACACAACGCAAGAAAGAGUACAACCGCUACAUAAACAGCACCUAACAGGACACCCUGACCUUAGCACUGUGAACCAAUGUUAUUACUAAAUACUACUUGAAUGAAUGGACGAUAAUACAACACAGCGACAAUACAAAAGAGCUUUAAAAGAUUGUUGCAUGCACGGUAAUGUGGAAACAUUUAGUAUGCCUGAGACCAAUUGUGUAUUAAGAUAAAGAAUCAAAUUGAAUCAGCCACAUUCGACUCAUAUGAGCAUCAAGAUAAUCAUUCAAUAGGUCCGGAAAGUAACUUCCCCAGUUGUAAAAUCGAAUUGGGCGUUAAUUUGGGAGUUUUUCUGUUUAUAAAUUAGCUUUAUCUAAUCAAUUGUCCCUUUAUAAUGUGAUAUAUCCCAACAGACAACAAUUAUGUUUCAGAGGUCAGAGCACAAUUCUGAUAAUAACUGUGAAUUCCUUUUUUAUUUAUUUGUUGGGGUUAUAACAAGUCAAAGUUGAAUAUAAUUGUGUUUAUUCUCAAGUAAACCUGCCAUGUAUAAUUCAUGUUUUUUUUUACAGUCCAAAGACAUGCUCUGGGGAUCAGGUUAAUUGGGGACUUUAAAUUGCCCGUAGAUGUGUGGAUGUGAGUGUGAAUGGUUGUGUGUCUUGUGUGUCUCUUUGUAGCCCUGCGAUUGGCUGGCGACCAAUCCAGGAUGUAUCCGGUCUAUCGCCCAAAGUUGGCUGGGAUGGACUCCGGCCCCCCUGCGACUGUGUGUGCAGGAUAAGCGGUUUGACAAUGGAUGGAUGGAUAUAUUAUGUUAUAUCAGUGUUUCCCCUACGUUCCCAACUAUGGGGGGGCGGACGUACCGGAGGGGGGUCGUGGGUGUUGGGGCGCGCCGGGUGAUACAAUUGUAGGGAAAACACUGUAUAUCAUAUUAAGUUAUAUAAUAUUAGAAAUAAAGGUGUAAUGCCAUGUCUCCUAUAUUGGUUCUACUAUAUUAUGUCAUAUCAGUGUUUCCCCCCUGUUACCAACUAUGGGGGGGCGGACGUACCGGAGGGGGGUCGUGGGUGUUGGGGCGCGCCGGGUGAUACAAUGGUAGGGAAAACACUGUAUAUGGUAUUAAGUUAUAUAAUAUUUGAAAUACUAAGUAUGAUGACAUGUUUGUUAUAUUACUCCUACAUAAUGCUAUAUGUGUCACGGUGUGGUUCACUUCAUGUU
ensembl:lncRNA